rnacentral:rRNA from 1 species
AACGAACGUUAGCGGCGCGCUUAACACAUGCAAGUCGAACGAGGUAGCAAUACCUAGUGGCGGACGGGUGAGUAACGCGUGGGAAUCUGCCUUUAGGAUGGGGGAUAACGGGUCGAAAGACUCGCUAAUACCGCAUAUGACGAAAGUUGAAAGGAGUAAUCCGUCUAAAGAUGAGCCCGCGUCCGAUUAGCUAGUUGGUAGAGUAAAAGCCUACCAAGGCGACGAUCGGUAGCUGGUCUGAGAGGAUGAUCAGCCACAAUGGGACUGAGACACGGCCCAUACUCCUACGGGAGGCAGCAGUGGGGAAUUUUACGCAAUGGGCGAAAGCCUGACGUAGCGACACCGCGUGAGCGAAGAAGCCCCUUGGGGUGUAAAGCUCUGUCAGCUGGAACGAAAAAAUGACGGUACCAGCAGAGGAAGCAUCGGCUAACUACGUG